rnacentral:rRNA from 1 species
GAUGAACGCUGGCGGCGUGCCUAAUACAUGCAAGUCGAGCGAACAGACGAGGAGCUUGCUCCUCUGACGUUAGCGGCGGACGGGUGAGUAACACGUGGGUAACCUACCUAUAAGACUGGGAUAACUUCGGGAAACCGGAGCUAAUACCGGAUAAUAUAUUGAACCGAAUGGUUCAUUAGUGAAAGACGGUUUUGCUGUCACUUAUAGAUUGAUCCGCGCCGCAUUAGCUAGUUGGUAAGGUAACGGCUUACCAAGGCAACGAUGGGUAGCCGACACCAGAGGGUGGUUGGGCACCCUAGAAGUGAGACACGGUCCAGACUCCUACGGGAGGAAGCAGUAGGGAAUCUUCCGCAAUGGGGGAAAGCUGGACGGAGCAACGCCGCGUGAGUGAUGAAGGUGUUCGGAUCGUAAAGCUCUGUUAUUAGGGAAGAACAAAUGUGUAAGUAACUAUGCACGUCUUGACGGUACCUAAUCAGAAAGCCACGGCUAACUACGUG